rnacentral:tRNA from 1 species
GCCUCUAUAGUUCAACGGAUAGAGCACUGGUUUCCGGAACCAGGGAUGAAGGUUCAAUUCCUUCUAGAGGCA